rnacentral:tRNA from 1 species
GGAAACGUGGCUCAGUGGUAGAGUGCUUGCCUUGCAUGCAUGAGGCCCUGGGUUCGAUUCCUCAGCACCA